rnacentral:lncRNA from 1 species
GUAGCUUCGCCCGAACAAUCUUCUCCGGCGGCGUAGCUGUAGAAGUACUGGCCGGUGCAACUGAUCCACCACCACCACCUAUUGAAAACAAUUUAAUCUUACCUGUAGUAGUUGUUAAGGAAACCAUCAAACCAACCGCCAACAAUCCCGUCAAUAAAAACAUAACCAUCUUUAAGGAUCGCCGCCGCCGCUGUUGCUGUCGCUUUGCCGGAGGCUCAGUCUCCUCCGGCAAGCGAAUGUAAGGGAAAUGAACAGCGGUGGUUGGAUCCUCCAUAUCUGAAAAUUAAUGUACGAUAUGGAUUUGACAAUUAAUGCCUCUAUAUUAUAAUUAUAUUAACAAAGAAGAACAUGUAGCUAGUACUAUAUGG